AGUGAACGCUGGCGGUAGGCCUAACACAUGCAAGUCGAACGGCAGCACAGUAAGAGCUUGCUCUUACGGGUGUCGAGUGGCGGACGGUGGAGGAAUACACCGGAAUCUACUUUUUCGUGGGGGCUAACGUAGGGAAACUUACUCUAAUACCACAUACAUCCUACGUGUGAAAGCAGGCGAUCUUUGGACUUUUCGCUAUGGAAUAAGCCUAUGUCGGAUUAGCUAGUUGGCGGGGUAAAGGCGCACCAAGGCUACGAUGCGAAGCUGGUAUGAAAGGAUGAUCCGAUAGCUUGUAACUGAGAAACAGUCCCGACACUGGGAGGAGGACGCAGUGGGGAAUACUGCACGAGGCAGGAGAGCCGGAUCCAGCACUAUCGCGUGAGUGAAGAAGGACUUAGGCUUGUAGAGUCCUUUUGUUCGGAAAGAAAAACAGCACGUUAACACCCCGCUGUUAUGACAGUACCCAAAGAAUAAGCACCGGCUAACUUCGUG
rnacentral:rRNA from 1 species